AGGGAUGUAGCUUAAUAGGUAAGCACCUGCCUGGCAAGAGCAAGGUCCUGAGUUUGAUUCCUGGUAUCCCUG
rnacentral:tRNA from 1 species